rnacentral:rRNA from 1 species
GACGAACGCUGGCGGCGUGCCUAAUACAUGCAAGUAGAACGCUGAAGAGAGGAGCUUGCUCUUCUUGGAUGAGUUGCGAACGGGUGAGUAACGCGUAGGUAACCUGCCUUGUAGCGGGGGAUAACUAUUGGAAACGAUAGCUAAUACCGCAUAACAAUGGAUGACACAUGUCAUUUAUUUGAAAGGGGCAAUUGCUCCACUACAAGAUGGACCUGCGUUGUAUUAGCUAGUAGGUGAGGUAAUGGCUCACCUAGGCGACGAUACAUAGCCGACCUGAGAGGGUGAUCGGCCACAUUGGGACUGAGACACGGCCCAGACUCCUACGGGAGGCAGCAGUAGGGAAUCUUCGGCAAUGGGGGCAACCCUGACCGAGCAACGCCGCGUGAGUGAAGAAGGUUUUCGGAUCGUAAAGCUCUGUUGUAAGUCAAGAACGGGUGUGAGAGUGGAAAGUUCACACUGUGACGGUAGCUGACCAGAAAGGGACGGCUAACUACGUG